AACGAACGCUGGCGGCAGGCUUAACACAUGCAAGUCGAACGAGCUGGGGGCUUCGGUCCCCGAUGCUAGUGGCGCACGGGUGAGUAACACGUGGGAAUAUGCCCUUUAGUACGGAAUAACCAAGGGAAACUUUGGCUAAUACCGUAUACGCCCUUCGGGGGAAAGAUUUAUCGCUAAAGGAUUAGCCCGCGUCUGAUUAGGUAGUUGGUGAGGUAAUGGCUCACCAAGCCGACGAUCAGUAGCUGGUCUGAGAGGAUGAUCAGCCACACUGGGACUGAGACCCGCCCCGGCCUCCUCCGGGAGGCGGCAGUGGGAAAUUUUGGACAAUGGGGCCACCCCUUAUCCCCCCCUGCCGGGGGAGUAAAGAAGCCCUGCGGGUUGUAAACCUCUUUCGCCGGGUCCUAUGAUCCCGUCCCCCAAAUAAGAACCCCCGGCAACCUUCGUC
rnacentral:rRNA from 1 species